rnacentral:rRNA from 1 species
UACGGGGGGAGCAAGCGUUGUUCGGAUUUAUUGGGCGUAAAGGGCGCGUAGGCGGCUGUACAAGUCAAAGGUGAAAUCCCUCGGCUCAACUGAGGAACUGCCUUGAAACUGUACGGCUUGAGGCCGGGAGGGGGUAGCGGAAUUCCCAAUGUAGCGGUGAAAUGCGUAGAUAUUGGGAGGAACACCAGUGGCGAAGGGCGGC